rnacentral:rRNA from 1 species
UGGGGAAUUUUGGACAAUGGGGGCAACCCUGAUCCAGCCAUGCCGCGUGAGUGAAGAAGGCCUUCGGGUUGUAAAGCUCUUUCGGCGGGGACGAAACGGUCCGUGACAACACCACGGACUAAUGACAGUACUCGCAGAAGAAGCACCGGCUAACUACGUGCCAGCAGCCGCGGUAAUACGUAGGGUGCAGGCGUUAAUCGGAAUUACUGGGCGUAAAGCGUGCGCAGGCGGCUCCUUAAGUCAGAUGUGAAAUCCCCGGGCUUAACCUGGGAACUGCGUUUGAAACUGAGGGGCUAGAGUGUGGAAGGGGCAAUCGGAAUUCUUGGUGUAGCGGUGAAAUGCGUAGAUAUCAAGAGGAACACCUGAGGUGAAGACGGGUUGCUGGGCUGACACUGACGCUGAGGCGCGAAAGCCAGGGGAGCAAACGGGAUUAGAUACCCGGGUAGUCCCUGAGCGGGCUGGCAAGGCGCAU